rnacentral:lncRNA from 1 species
AAAAAAAAUUCAAAUUGUUUCUAUGUUGUCUGUAUACAGUUAAUUCAAAUUGUAUGUAGUAAUUGUGUAUUGACCUUGUAAGGGAGAAGAAGUAAUAUCUUUUCAUCACCCAUUACAAGGUUGAUGGCUGACACCUUUAUAAAGGAAGACAAAUCAACGAGAGAAAAGCAUAACCAAUUUACUUAACCAAAGUUUUAGAUGACAUAAAGAACCCAGGAAAUACUUCAGAAAUAAAGAACCCAGGAAAACUGUGUAUUUUUAUGCUUGGGUGUAGUGAAGAAUGGGCAUUCACUUAGAAGUAUGAUUGGAUAACAAGGGGGUAUGACCUUAGCAAUGGUUUUUAGUUUAGAUUCUUCUUGGCCUCUGGGUAGAGGGGAAGAACUCUCUGGAAGGAGUCUUAUGACUUCCUUUCAGGGGAGAUAGGUCAAAUAAUUCUUUUAUGACCAUGCUUCAGAGAAGAAAGAAGAAGGUCAGAGAAGGAAAAAGAGAAGAUAAAGAAACUGAGGCUCAAUGAACUUGUAACGCUUUAGUGUCAGAGCUCUAGAAUGGGUGAAGGCCAGAUUCAGACCCAGGCAUCGUGACUCCCAAGUCUGCUUGUGGAUCCUUGAAAGCAAGGGUGAGCCAUAAGCAUUGCACCUUUGAGAGAACUGGUAAGUUAGAACCGCAGGGACUUCUGAGAGCUUCCUUCAUCAUUUUCUGCAUGCCUCCCAGUGUGCAUAGUCUCUGCUCCUUCUCCCGUUAGCAUGAGCCGUGUGUGUGAUACAGUGUGAGCACUGGUGUGGAGGGUUCAGAUCCAUGUGGGUGGCCCCCACACUCUAGCCAAGUGAGCAUGUAAAGAUGUUUUUAUGUAGCUUCAUCGAUAAUUAACUUCCACUCUCUGCCUCAUUCCAUGCCUCCCCACUUGCCUUCCUCCCUCCCUCCAGCCUGGGUGCUUGGGGGCCUAGGCUGGGGACCUCACUGUGACUAGCUUAGCAAUUCUCUAGCUCCAGGAGGCUGCCAGGACCCAGGCGGGAGUGCAGGAAGUUUUCAAGGUCUGUGCUCCAGGGUGUGUGAUGACUUGACUGCUCCCUGAAGAGCUCGCUGCUUAUAAUCGCAUAGUUUUUGGCAUGUGCUCUCUGACAAAAGAACAGAUGUUUCCUACAAGAACAAAAGAACAGGGCAUAACUGUUGGCCUAACGCUUUGCCACUAAUAACAUUGAAAGUGGAAGCAACAAGUCCUAACGAGAAGGUCCCUACAGGAUCAUGAAGCCAGUGCCAGGGAAUUGGAGUCAAAAUGAAAGAACUCACGGCUGCUUUUACGUUUUAAUAGGCAGUGUGCUGGAUGUUUUUUAACCUCUUUGGAUAAAUAGCAACAGGCUAUUCUUUCUAGCUGUGUUCAUGAAUUUUGUAGCUGUACAGUAAUGAUGGCUUCACAAGUUCCCUUACAAGAUCCCAAGCCCGUGUCCAUUUCAGAGACACACUGAGAGGGUUAUGACAGGCUCGGCCAACCCUGCAGCAUCAGCCUACAGUCCAUAUAUGGGGGAAGCCUUAGCUAAAUCGCAGCUCUCAGCCAAACUAAAAACACCAGAGCAAGUUUUUCUCUUUGUUGCUGGCUGGAACUUCAAAGCACGGAGAGCCCACACACAAAAAUGAAAAACAAAGAACCCUAAAAAAGGGCCCAGCCUCAGAGCCCACCCCCAAAAGUUUAGUAUGCCUCUUGUGUUAAAAACCUUUCACCCCAUAUGUCACAUGUCACCCAGGGUUUCAGUCGCGUUCCUAGAGUCAUUCCUCUGAUUUUUCAUCUCUGAAGAAUAUCUUCUUUGAGGUUGUCCUUGGCUUUCGCCCAAAGGAAAGACAUUUAUUUUUUCUCAUUCUUUCCCCCAACCACCUACCCUGACUAUUUCUUCAAACUAACAGACACAGUGAAAAUAUUAUUUAAAUGUUUUUAACUUCUUUUACCAUGAACUGUUGUCACCAAAAAGGUUCAAUGUUCGGGUUUAGUAAGUCAUGGUUAGCAAAGAACAUUCACAGCAUCUGAUGUCAACAGGAUCUUUACAAAUCUCUCCUCCUAUUUCCCUUGGACUUUAUUGAGAGGGAUGGAUACUAUAUCCCAAUGUGGCAACUGGACAUCCUCAUUUAUAUUUGUGGUCCCAGCUUAUACCUUUUUCCUGAUGUUCUGUUUGCUGAUUUGCAUGAUUCAUUAUAUGAUCACCUCUUCUUUAAGAAGGGGUUUUGAAAAUAUUUCUUAUGAUUCUAGCAAUUUAUAUCAAAUUUUAUGGUGCUAUCAUUAUAAUGCGAAUGUGGGAAAUGCAGAACCAAAACCUUGAAGCGACUUGAAAUUUUCAUAAGGCAAAUCCAUUCAUCACAUAUACAUUUGAGUCCAUGUUAUUUUUCUGAAAAUGUGGUUGAGCUAAUGCAAUUAUGAAAAUGUUGUUUCUUGGAAAUGAAAAGGUUUUGUGUUCAGCAGGGUACAUAAAGUAGGUGUAAGCACUCUCAUAUUUGGGCUCCAAAUAUGGGUUACAUGUUGAGACUGAGUGCCAGUUGAGGAGCACAUUAAAAAAACACCCAAUCAUAUGAUUGUGUUAUUCAUAGUUAUACAUUCUGUGUCCCAGAGACUAAAUAUCAACAGCAGAUUCCUUCAAAGAUUGGAUGGGUAUGAGUGACAAAGUGACGGAUCUUAACAUCUUGAAAUGGUGGCAGAAUUGAGUUAGCUGUUUUUAUAAAAAAAAAUAGGCCAGGACGGAAGUUAGACACAUUAGUGCUGCUGAAUUUGUUUUGAAUCAACUCUGUGGCUCUAGGCAACCAGAUUUCUCUCCAUGUGUCGGUUUCCUGAUCUGCAAAAUGGGCAUAAAUGUGUUUUCUCUAGGACCUCUCUCAAAAUUCUCACGAAGAUAAAACAGGCCUUUAUUUGGGAUAGUGCUUUGAAAGUAACGCAUAUUACACAUGUUUCUCAAGCUGUACUUAAAACAGCAGGCUGUGAUUUUGAGGCAGCCACAUCAGAAGGUGUCUGGAGCUCUCGGCCUCUGUGGGGCAUGCUCAGAGUGAAUUGAAAUUUUUGGUCAGUGAAUCCUGGUGGCUAAAUGACUAUUUUCCAUAUUUAAUUCAUCUAUUUUUAGCUUAUUUUCAUGACUUGAUUCAGAACUUAAUAGAAACAAAUGUGCAUCUAUUACAAUUCAAAAUUGAACUUCCUGGGUGGUGUUGGGUGGGAGAAACAGAGAUUGAAAUGAGAGAGAGAGAGAGGAAAACUUAACAUUUCUAUGGUAAUAAAAAAGUAGUUUUUACAAAACUGAAAACACUAAAAAUUGAACCCACAAAAAUGGUAUGAUGAAACCAACUGAAUUUCUGCAUUUGGAAGCAAACCAGAACUCGGUGACUGUACUCAGGUCUCUCUCUUCUUUUCAAACUGUUGGAUGCCUUUGCUUCAUCGCUGUGUUGUUGAUGUUUGCAUUUUAAUUAUAACAAUGACACUUACCUGUCCCUAUUUAAGCCAUCAUGAAAACUCUGUGUUGAAAAUCUGCUUGACUGGAUGAAAAGUCUAAAAAACGCAGGAGGAUAGCACUGCUGUCCCCAAGCCAUAUGGGCAAGUGAUUUGAGGUCAUUUUCCAGCAGGAGUGACAAAUUUAACUCAAGUGGUCUCCCCUUCUACCUCCCAUUUCUUGUGGGUAAGGUCUGGGUCAAUGAUUAUAGUCAGUGACUACGAAUGAGUGGAUUUCUAGGGAGAGGCACAUGUAUCCUGUUAGGCUGUCAGUAUGCCGUGGUUUGCCUGAGAGAGUGCAGGUUUACCCCUGUGGCCCAGCCCGAUGAUUAAUUGUACCUCUUUUCAUUCCUAAGGUGUUUGGAUUUGGGUGAGAAGUUGUGUGAUCAUACUAUUCAUGCUGGGUGCUGAGCACACAACCUGGGCAUUAGGGUCUCUGUGUCCUCAUCAAGUGGGAGGUCUGGCCCAGAUAACAUAAACCAGUUGUCAUUGCAUGGGAUCAGGGUAGACCUAGGUGCUUUGAUGACAAUCUGUUGGUCUGUGCUCUUCCCUUUAAUAUAUAUUCCCAAACUAAUUGUCUCACUAAAUUCACUAAGUGCAGUUUCUGGCUGCAACAUUUCUACUUGGGAAAGACGCCAGAAUUGUCAGCCAGUAAAGACUUCAGACCUUUCUUGGCCAAUUUGCCAAAAAAACAUCAGAGGGAGUUAUUGAUCUUUUCCCUUGUACUCAUUCAGCUAAUUUUUUUUUCUGUUUCCUUUCUUUUCUUCUUCUUAAGCUGACAUCCAAUAAAAGCUAUUUCUUUGAGGUGCCAGCAACAUGUCAGCACCAAUACCAUUGACAAUAUGAAUUGUAGUCCCCCCACCUCCAUUUCUCUACAAAUGUCCUUUUCUUGGUUCUGUUGACAACACAGGUAUUUGUCAAGCUUUGCUUUCCUCUUGCAUUUAUUCAUGGGUGACUUUGAACCUGGACUGGUUCAUGGGACUAAAUUCCAUUUGGAUACUGUGUUUGAAUACUACUGCAAGUUGCAUGCUUAAAAAUUUAUUAAACAGUAUACACCACUUAUCAGAGCAAUCUUAUUUUAUACUUAAUUUAUAGAAGAAAGCCCAGUAGAUUAGUCAGGGACAUCUCAAUAGCUAGUUUCUCAGCAGGAGCAAAUUUUGGAUUUGGCCUUCAGAAAUAUGAACUAUUCUUUCAGAAAUUUCUGGCACUGAAUAGUGCUACACUUCCCCCCGUGAGAGCUGUUCACUUACCACCUUUUCUUAGCUGGAGGCCCAGGCUCAUACUAGCCUAUGAGGUACAAUUAAAGAGGAGGCCUAGAGAAUUGCAGGCAUAAUUACCACAGAGAUGGGCAAGGUAGUUAUGGUGACAAUAAAUAUGUAAGAUAUCUGGGAAGC